rnacentral:rRNA from 1 species
CGGGUGAGUAACACGUGGAUAACCUACCUAUAAGACUGGGAUAACUUCGGGAAACCGGAGCUAAUACCGGAUAAUAUAUUGAACCGCAUGGUUCAAUAGUGAAAGACGGUUUUGCUGUCACUUAUAGAUGGAUCCGCGCUGCAUUAGCUAGUUGGUAAGGUAACGGCUUACCAAGGCAACGAUGCGUAGCCGACCUGAGAGGGUGAUUGGCCACACUGGAACUGAGACACGGUCCAGACUCCUACGGGAGGCAGCAGCU